rnacentral:tRNA from 1 species
GGGUCCGUGGUCUAGCUGGUUAUGACGCCGCCCUCACACGGCGGAGGUCUCCGGUUCGAAUCCGGACGGACCCA